rnacentral:rRNA from 1 species
GCGUGUGUGAAGAAGGCCUGCGGGUUGUAAAGCACUUUCGGUUGGGAGGAAAAGGUGAUGGCUAAUAUCCAUCAUUCUUGACGUUACCUUCAGAAGAAGCACCGGCUAACUCCGUGCCAGCAGCCGCGGUAAUACGGAGGGUGCAAGCGUUAAUCGGAAUUACUGGGCGUAAAGCGCACGUAGGUGGUUUGAUAAGUCGAGUGUGAAAUCCCCGGGCUCAACCUGGGAACUGCAUUCGAGACUGUCAGGCUAGAGUAUGGUAGAGGGUAGUGGAAUUCCAGGUGUAGCGGUGAAAUGCGU